CCAAUAGCGUAUAUUAAAGUUGUUGUGGUUAAAAAGCUCGUAGUUGAACCUUGGGCCUGGCCGUCCGGUCCGCCUCACCGCGUGUACUGGCUCGGCCGGGCCUUUCCCUCUGUGGAACCCCAUGCCCUUCACUGGGCGUGGCGGGGAAACAGGACUUUUACUGUGAAAAAAUUAGAGUGCUCCAGGCAGGCCUAUGCUCGAAUACAUUAGCAUGGAAUAAUAGAAUAGGACGUGUGGUUCUAUUUUGUUGGUUUCUAGGACCGCCGUAAUGAUUAAUAGGGACAGUCGGGGGCAUCAGUAUUCAAUUGUCAGAGGUGAAAUUCUUGGAUGUAUUGAAGACUAACUACUGCGAAAGCAUUUGCCAAGGAUGUUUUCAUUAAUCAGGAACGAAAGUUAGGGGAUCGAAGACGAUCAGAUACCGUCGUAGUCUUAACCAUAAACUAUGCCGACUAGGGAUCGGACGGUGUUAUUUUUUGACCCGUUCGGCACCUUACG
rnacentral:rRNA from 1 species